AUUACUUUAGCUUAAGGGUAAAGCAGGAUCCUUCUAAGAUCCCUAUUCAGGUUCGAAUCCUGGAAGUGAUU
rfam:Wallemia ichthyophaga EXF-994 unplaced genomic scaffold scaffold27, whole genome shotgun sequence.